GGACUGUUAAUUCAGCGGUAGAAUAGUCGUCUCAUAAACGAACAGUCACAGGUUCAAAUCCUGUACAGUCCA
rnacentral:tRNA from 1 species